GCGGGUGUAGCUCAGCUGGUAGAGCGUCAGAUUUCCAAUCUGAAUGUCGCCGGUUCGAACCCGGUCGCCCGCU
rnacentral:tRNA from 1 species